rnacentral:lncRNA from 1 species
UCAAUUAAAGGUGAAAUUAUUUCCUGUUUUGAAUAACCUUUUUACUCCUAUAACCAGACAGCAUAGAGGUGAGAUAUAACUUGAUCAGAAUCAAUGACUAAUUUGAUAGGUUUACACAGAAUACAUAGAUCGAAUUGGCUAACAAAUGCAUCUUUAACCAUCCAACUAAUUACCAAACAUGAGAUUUCUAAGCGAAUUAACAUUCCACUACCAAAGUAUAAUUAGAACUGCAGUUCAAAUUACACAAUACAAAAGUCCAUAAGAUACCAGAGAAUGAAUUGGUAAACUUGUAGUCAGUUAUACAUUCAGUAAUCCAACACAUGCUUGGGAGUUUUAUUCAAUAGGCAAGGUUUGCCAGCACUUCAUUUCACUUCAAAUGAUUUGAGAGACACAAAUGUGUACCUGAAUAUUGGACAGAAAUGAGAGAAGCGAGGUCAGUUCAAGCCAAUAACAAGCAACAGCACAGCAAAGCCACAACAAUAACCCAAUAGUGAUUUCACCAAAUCAACAACAACUACUACUAAUACCCAGUAAAUCCCACAAAGUGGCGUCUGGGGAGGGUAAUGUGUACGCAGACCUUACCCCUGUCCCGGCAGGGCAGAGAGACUGUUUCCGACGAUAUACCCUCGGCAAAUCAACAAGGAAUAAUAACUCCAAAAAUACCCAACAUACCCAGGAAUGACAAUCAUUCAUAGUAAACACCCACUAGCCGAUCAAAAACACUUGAAAUUAACUCUAGUAAACCUCUGAAACUUCAGCAAUCAAACAGAAAACCAGAACAGUAGAAACAGGGCCAAACAACUUGAAACUUGAACUUAAAGGCUCUAGAAGUCCAAACUAACAAUUGGAAUUGCAAAAAAAAAAACUCCAAUGUAACAAUAUAAUUUUUGAGUUUUUUGGAAGUUUUCUAAUGUUUUUGAGUUUUUGAAACUUUGAAAUUCGAAAUUCGAUCUAAGAAGGCAGAAAUUGCUUGGGGGAAAUUUUUUAUGCCCCUAUUACCCCUGAAAUUAUAUCAUUACUACUAUGAAACCAUUUUCCUAUACCCAAUAUACCCUCCCUUCCUUUUGUUAAUUACUACCAAACCCCUUUUAUAUCACCAAAAUGCCCCUGAAACUAUACUGAAUUUACUGGAAUAAAACUACUGUUAUUCAACCCUUUUACCCCUGAAUUUAUUUAACCCCAAUUUUAAUUCCACGAUUAACCAAUUACUAAUCAAAAAUCUAACAGCUAUAACCAUUCCUAAUUAUCAAUCAGAAAUUAACAAACAGGAGCAAUUCAAAUCACUGCCAGUGAACAUAAAAAUCUAAUUAACUACUGAUUUAUCUUUAUAUUGAUAUCGAAUUUAUUUACUGAUCAGAAUUUAUACUAACUAUUACUCAAAAUUAUAAACCCUAAUAGUAUCAAUUUUUAGAAUUAAAACCUAAUAAUUGUAUUUUAAAACAGAAAUUAAGUAAACCAUAAUAAAACUAAUAACAAAAGUAUCAACAGAAAUCAAUAAAAACAUGAUGACAUAAAAGACAAACGCAUGCAAAAAUAAAAGAUAACUUAAAACAGAAAAUAAAGAAAAGGAUUUGAACAACUUAUCUUGGUUUCUCUUUUUUUAUUAGCUUGCUUCGAUCACUUUUUGAGCAGAAUUUAUUUGAAUCCUUUAGGAUUCAUGAUCCGUAACAUACCCAAUGGUGUGUUUUCUAAAAGAAAACACCUAUUAGGUGUGUUACGGUCAUGAAUCCUCAAAGAUUGACCGGGGAUUCUUGAUCAGAAAAUUUAAAAAAAUGAAAUUCGAGGAUUUCUAGUGGGUUUUGAGACAGGCAGAUAUGGGAAAUGGAUAGAGGACACUUAGGCGUAACUAUGGUGUAAAUUAGGGGUUAUUUGGAUGAAGUGUUGUUCGCCGGAGUUAGGGUUCCGGCGAAACAAAAUUGAAUAUUCGAACAGAACGGGCAAUAUUUGAAGGAAACCAAGUAGAGGGGUGGAAAGAGGGUUUAAGGUGGUCAUACGGUGUAAUUUUGGUGAAGUUUGGCAUAGGAUGUAUUUCCUGCCGGCGAGAGUCCCGGCGGGGUUGAUGGUGGAACAGGGGCGGCUGGGAAAGGAGGAAGACGAAGUGAUUAUA